rnacentral:rRNA from 1 species
CGCGUAGGUGGCGAGAUAAGCGUGUGGUGAAAGCCCGGGGCUCAACCCCGUGUCUGCCAUGCGGACUGUUUUGCUCGAGCGUAGUAGAGGCAGGUGGAAUUCCGGGUGUAGCGGUGGAAUGCGUAGAGAUCCGGAAGAACACCGGUGGCGAAGGCGGCCUGCUGGGCUACUGCUGACACUGAGGCGCGACAGCGUGGGAGCAAACA